CAACGACUACAGUGUUAUCACUUCUCGUCUUCAUGAAAAAGUACAUUUUACAUUUUGUCUCAUCCGCCAUUCAGGUCAAUCCCAGCAAUCUGUGUCACGCACCAUGGGCAGAUGUAUCCAAGUUUGCAAGCUGGUCCUAUGGGUUGCAGUUUGUGUGACCUUCAUUGUAUUGGGCCAUUUUUGGACCUUCUCUGUAUUCCAACCCAACUACGCACGGAAAGAGAUCAUCGACAACACAGUAUACUGCAACAAAUCUCUAUACCUCUUUGUGGCCUCUACCACCAUCAUAUUGGACAUUAUUAUAUGUACAGUGCCUUGCGAAAGUAUUCGGCCCCCUUGAACUUUGCAACCUUUUG